UACGGGGGGAGCAAGCGUUGUUCGGAUUUACUGGGCGUAAAGGGCGCGUAGGCGGUCGUGACAAGUCACUUGUGAAAUCUCCGGGCUUAACCCGGAAAGGUCAAGUGAUACUGUCGGACUAGAGUACAGAAGGGGCAACUGGAAUUCUCGGUGUAGCGGUGAAAUGCGUAGAUAUCGAGAGGAACACCUGCGGCGAAGGCGGGUUGCUGGGCUGAUACUGACGCUGAGGCGCGAAAGCUAGGGGAGCGAACGGG
rnacentral:rRNA from 1 species